rnacentral:tRNA from 1 species
CGGGCUGUAGCGCAGCUUGGUAGCGCACCUGACUGGGGGUCAGGGGGUCGCAGGUUCAAAUCCUGUCAGCCCGACCU